rnacentral:rRNA from 1 species
AUUGAACGCUGGCGGCAUGCCUUACACAUGCAAGUCGAACGGUAACAGGUCUUCGGAUGCUGACGAGUGGCGAACGGGUGAGUAAUACAUCGGAACGUGCCUAGUAGUGGGGGAUAACUACUCGAAAGAGUGGCUAAUACCGCAUGAGAUCUACGGAUGAAAGCAGGGGAUCGCAAGGCCUUGUGCUACUAGAGCGGCCGAUGGCAGAUUAGGUAGUUGGUGGGAUAAAAGCUUACCAAGCCGACGAUCUGUAGCUGGUCUGAGAGGACGAUCAGCCACACUGGGACUGAGACACGGCCCAGACUCCUACGGGAGGCAGAAGUGGGGAAUUUUGGACAAUGGGCGCAAGCCUGAUCCAGCAAUGCCGCGUGCAGGAUGAAGGCCUUCGGGUUGUAAACUGCUUUUGUACGGAACGAAAAGCCCCGGGUUAAUACCCUGGGGUCAUGACGGUACCGUAAGAAUAAGCACCGGCUAACUACGUGCCAGCCGCCGCAGUAA